rnacentral:lncRNA from 1 species
GUGGUUCUCGCCAGUGCCUUUUUCCAGGUUUCAUGGGGAAUAGCAGACAAGGACCCCUCAGGCUCAUCUGAUUGCUUCGACGUUCAGGAAGUGCUCAAAGAACUUCUGAGCAUCAGAGUAGCACCACAUCCCCGUGUCAAGGAAAAAGCCCUGGGUGAAAGGGUGUCUAGACUGCAAAAGUACCAGUGUCUUCGUCUGCAAGAGGGGACCUUAGACAGGAUGGGAAAUUCACAGAGAAGUGACUACAACAGGAAUUCAGACUCCUCUUCUGUUAAGCUGAAGGUUACACAACUGGAGGAGAGGCUGGAUGAACUAAAUGAGGCGUUUGUUGAAUUGACAGUACAGGCCAUGAGUCUGCAAGAAGAUGGGGAUCUAUUGGAGAAAGAGCUGAGAACACAGGAGGAGUCACUUGUGACUGCAAGCAACAAAGAAGCUCAGCAGUAUUCUGAAAUGUUAGAUUCUUGGGUCACAAAGAGGGAUGAAGCCUUGCUGCUGGAAAUAGAGAGGAACUGGAUUGCUCAGAAGAUUGAAGAGAUGGAAGCACAACUAUUGCAUCUUAAAAGUAAAGCAGCCAGCAGUUCACCUCCUUGAGGAACCUAAAGGCAGUGGUUACAGCACAGAUGUCACAGUGUGUUAAUUAGAGGAUGAGACUUCAGUGCCAAGGAGCCCAGACAGAAGCCCUCAGCUCUGGUCCCACUUACUGGUGUCUCUGGUGGAUCCAGAGGAACUUCAUGUUCUUUUGCCCUCAUCUGAUUUUGCUGAUUACAUGUUUUCUGAGCUUGCUCCCAGAUGCAGAAGGUUUGUUUUGCUUCCUUUGCAACCUCACCUUGGGAAAAUUCAGUUAUUUGCUGGCACUUUGAAGGGCCUUUAAGGAAAUGACAGGAUUUAUGGAAGCCAAAUAUACCUAUUGGCAAACACUAUGAAACAGUGGGAUUUUCUUUCCUAGAUUGCAGCAGUGAAAAGGCUGCCGUUGCUCUCCUUAUUGCUUUCAUCUUUUAGGUUAUCAGCAGAUACUUUUACAACAGUACUACCUGGAAGUAAGCAUCUUCAGACACUGCUGUCUCUGGAAUAUCCACAGGAAAACAUCUAGAUAGGUGGUGAAGUUAGCUCUGUGUGCUCUGUGUGUUGUAUUUUUAAAAGGCAGACUGGGAGGCGUUAGCAAAUAAAAUGUGUCAAUUUUUCA